rnacentral:rRNA from 1 species
CCUUACGGCCAUACCAACCUGAAAGCACCCGAUCUCGUCAGAUCUUGGAAGCUAAGCAAGGUCGGGCCUGGUUAGUACUUGGAUGGGAGACUUCCUGGGAAUACCAGGUGCUGUAAGCA